UUUUUUUUUUUUUACUCUCUCUGUCUCUCUCCUACAGUUAUUAGCAAUUACAAAAAAGCUAGACAGGUCCGUCUUCUAGUCUGUUUAUUGAUCUUUGAAGGUGGAAGGUAAAAAUGUCGUUCGAUCUUCUCUUAAAGCCAUCGUGCAGUGGAUGUGGAUCGACCACAGAUUUGUAUGGAAGCAAUUGCAAGCACAUGACUCUUUGCUUAACUUGUGGCAAAACCAUGGCGGAGAACCUUGAGAAAUGCUAUGAUUGUGGCGUCACCAUUACUCGUUUGAUUCGAGAAUAUAAUGUUCGGGCCAGUCCUAUCACCGACAAGAACUACUUUAUUGGUAGAUUUGUUACAGGAUUGCCUAGUUUUUCUAGAAAGAAAAAUGCUGAUAGUAAAUGGUCUAUUCAUAAAGAAGGACUACAAGGACGUCAACUUACUGAUGCUUUGCGGGAGAAGUACAAGAACAGGCCUUGGCUGUUGGAGGAUGAAACUGGCCAGUCUCAGUACCAAGGUCAUCUCGAAGGUUCGCAAUCAGCAACUUACUACCUGUUGAUACUGCAGGGAAAAGAGUUUGUUGCUAUCCCUGCUGGUUCUUGGUAUAAUUUUAACAAAGUUGCACAUUACAAGCAACUUACCUUGGAGGAAGCAGAAGAGAAGAUGAAGAACAGGAGAAAGACUGCAGAUGGAUAUGAAAGAUGGAUGAUGAAAGCUGCAAAUAAUGGGGCUGCUGCAUUUGGUGAAGUGGAGAAGUUUGAUGAUAAGGAUAGUGGUACAGCUGGUGGAAAGGGACGCAGAAAAACAGCUGGUGAUGAUGAAGGCGGCAAUGUUUCUGACAAGGGAGAGGAAGUUGAAGAAGAGGAGACAGCACGGAAGAAUAGACUUGGACUUCGCAGAUUUGAUGGUGAUGAUGAAGAGGAAGGUCAAAAGGGGAGUGAUCAUGAUAUGGAUGAUGAUGAUGGCGAGAAGGGUGAUGAUUGGGAGCAUGAAGAGAUUUUCACUGAUGAUGAUGAAGCAGUUGGUAAUGAUCCAGAGGAACGGGAAGAUCUGGCUCCUGAGCUUCCUGCUCCUCCAGAAAUCAAGCAGGAUGAAGAUGAUGAGGGCGAAGAGAAUGAAGAAGGUGGAUUGAGCAAAUCUGGGAAAGAGUUGAAGAAGCUUCUUGGGAAAGCUGGUGGACUCAGUGAUUCAGAUGAUGAUGAUGAUGAUGAUAGGCCUAAGUUGAGUUAUAUAUUAUGUAUGCUGAUAAUAUCCAGAUGGAUGAUGAGAUUUCUGUGCUGGCUCCGAAGAAGAAGGAUACACCUAAGGAGGAACCUACUGAAAGUAAUCAUGCAAAAUCAAUGCCUUCUGGUUCUGCUAAGGGAAAUCAAUCUGCUUCCAAGUCAGCAAAGGGAAAAAGAAAAUCAAAUGGUGAUGAUGCAAAAACAUCUAACAGUGUGCCUCAAAAGAAGGUCAAGGCAGAAAAUGAACUGAAACAUACCGUGAAAGAAGAAAGUGUUGCUGCUACUAAAAGUAACGUGACUUCCAAGGUGGUACCAUCAUCUCUGAAAACAGAAUCAACGUCAUCCAUUGGACCUGUCUCAGAAGAAGAGAUUAGGGCUGUCUUGUCGCAAAAUGGACCUGUGACUACACAAGAACUUGUUUCUCGGUUUAAAGCGAAGCUAAAAUGCCGCCAGGACAAGGAAGCUUUUGCAGCUACUCUAAAGAGAAUUUCUAGGAUUCAGAAGACCAAUGAAUCUAGUUAUGUUGUAUUGAGAAGGUAGAUGAUAUCUUUUCAGCCUCUAAAGACAAUGAUUUGGUCAGAUCAGUUUAUGAGAAACUGCAAAUUUUGCUACAGUAAUUCCAAAAUGUCUUUGCUACAACUAAAGAUGUCUUUUUGGAAUAUGCCCAUUUUGUAUUUAUUUCCCAAGGCCUGGUAAAGACAUCUUUUAUUGAGUCUUCAUGUGCAGGAAAUUUGAUGCAUUCAAUUUUAAAUUUGGACAAACAUUAUUGUUUGGUA